GGAGGUGGAGGUUGCAGUGAGCCGAGAUCAUGCCAUUGCACUCCAAUCUGGGCAACAAGAGUGAAACUCUGUCUCAAAAAAAAAAUUAUUUAUUUAUUUAUUUAUUUAUUUUUGAGACGGAGUCUCGCUCUGUCGCCCAGGCUGGAGUGCAGUGGCACGAUCUCAGCUCACUGCAAGCUCCGCCUCC
rnacentral:pre_miRNA from 1 species